rnacentral:rRNA from 1 species
UACGGAGGGGGCAAGCGUUGUUCGGAAUUACUGGGCGUAAAGGGCGCGUAGGCGGCGUGACAAGUCACUUGUGAAAUCUCCGGGCUUAACUCGGAGCGGCCAAGUGAUACUGUCGUGCUAGAGUGCGGAAGGGGCUACUGGAAUUCUCGGUGUAGCGGUGAAAUGCGUAGAUAUCGAGAGGAACACCUGCGGCGAAGGCGGCUACCUGGACAGGUACUGACGCUGAGGCGCGAAAGCCCAGGGGAGCAAACAGG